ACGCGAAGAACCUUACCUACUCUUGACAUCCAGAGAACUUUCCAGAGAUGGAUUGGUGCCUUCGGGAACUCUGAGACAGGUGCUGCAUGGCUGUCGUCAGCUCGUGUUGUGAAAUGUUGGGUUAAGUCCCGCAACGAGCGCAACCCUUAUCCUUUGUUGCCAGCGGUCCGGCCGGGAACUCAAAGGAGACUGCCAGUGAUAAACUGGAGGAAGGUGGGGAUGACGUCAAGUCAUCAUGGCCCUUACGAGUAGGGCUACACACGUGUUACAAUGGCGCAUACAAAGAGAAGCGAACUCGCGAGAGCAAGCGGACCUCAUAAAGUGCGUCGUAGUCCGGAUUGGAGUCUGCAACUCGACUCCAUGAAGUCGGAAUCGCUAGUAAUCGUGGAUCAGAAUGCCACGGUGAAUACGUUCCCGGGUCUUGUACACACC
rnacentral:rRNA from 1 species